UCCCAGGUGGCUCAGAUGGUAAAGAAUCUGCCUGCAAUGCAGAAGACCCAGGUUCAAUCCCUGGGUUGGGAA
rnacentral:tRNA from 1 species